UCUUAUAAAUUAAGACUGGAAUGAAUGGAUAUAUUGGGGCAAUGCUUUCUUAGAUUAAUGAUUAAAAGUAAAUUUUUUAGUGAAAAAGCUAAAAUUUUGAUGAGGGACGAGAAGACCCUAUUAAGCUUUAUAAAAUUAUUUUGUUGGGGAAACAGAAGGAAAAAUUUUCUUUAAAAAAGUUUUUUGAUAAAAUGUUGAUUUAUUAUUGAUAAUAAUAGAAUAAGUUACUAUAGGGAUAACAGCAUAAUUUUUUUAAAAAGUUCAUAUUGACAAAAAGGGUUAUGACCUCGAUGUUGGAUUAAAAUUAUUAUAUGAUGUAGUUGUUGUAUAAAUUG
rnacentral:rRNA from 1 species